rnacentral:tRNA from 1 species
GCGGAUAUGGCGGAAUUGGCAGACGCGCUGGAUUUAGGUUCCAGUGGCACAAACCGUGGGGGUUCAAAUCCCUCUAUCCGCACCA